rnacentral:tRNA from 1 species
GCCCGUCUAGCUCAGUCGGUAGAGCGCAAGGCUCUUAACCUUGUGGUCGUGGACACCCACCUUGUGGAUUUGCA